rnacentral:rRNA from 1 species
GAUGAACGCUGGCGGCGUGCUUAACACAUGCAAGUCGAACGGACAGGCUCCUGCUUGCCGGGGUACUCGAGUGGCGAACGGGUGAGUAACACGUGGGUGAUCUGCCCUGCACUUCGGGAUAAGCCUUGGAAACUGGGGCUAAUAUCGGAUAGGACGAUGGUUUGGAUGCCAUUGUGGAAAGUUUUUUCGGUUUGGGGUGAGCUCGCGGCCUAUCCGCUUGGUGGUGGGGUAAUGGCAUACGAAGGGAUUGACGGGUAGCCGGCCUGAGAGGGGGUACGGCCACAUUGGGACUGAGAGACGGCCCAGACUCCUACGGGAGGCAGCAGUGGGGAAUAUGACACAAUGGGCGCAAGCCUGAGGCAGAGACGCCGCGUGCGGGAUGACGGCCUUCGGGUUGUAAACUCCUUUCGCUGGGGACGAAGCGGAAGUGACGGUACCUGGAGAAGAAGCACCGGCUAACUACGUG